GGCCUCCUGGUGCUUACCACAGGCUGUGUUUUUACACUGACUGUACAGAAAGAGGAGGCAGAGCAAACCUGCCCCAUAUACACCCUAGCCCAGGCCACUGUGCCUGGUGGUCUGUACUGUGAAUGCAGAGACAUGG
rnacentral:snoRNA from 1 species